rnacentral:rRNA from 1 species
UACGUAGGGGGCUAGCGUUGUCCGGAAUCAUUGGGCGUAAAGAGCGUGUAGGCGGUCCGGUAAGUCCGCUGUGAAAGUCGGGUGCUCAACCCUCGAAAGCCGGUGGAUACUGUCGGGCUAGAGUGCGGAAGAGGCGAGUGGAAUUCCUGGUGUAGCGGUGAAAUGCGCAGAUAUCAGGAGGAACACCGAUUGCGAAGGCAGCUCGCUGGGACGUAACUGACGCUGAGACGCGAAAGCGUGGGGAGCAAACAGG